AUUGAACGCUGGCGGCAGGCCUAACACAUGCAAGUCGAACGAGUGGCGGACGGGUGAGUAAUGUCUGGGAACCUGCCUGAUGGAGGGGGAUAACUACUGGAAACGGUAGCUAAUACCGCAUACCAUCGGAUGUGCCCAGAUGGGAUUAGCUUGUUGGUGGGGUAACGGCUCACCAAGGCGACGAUCCCUAGCUGGUCUGAGAGGAUGAUCAGCCACACUGGGACUGAGACACGGCCCAGACUCCUACGGGAGGCAGCAGUGGGGAAUAUUGCACAAUGGGCGCAAGCCUGAUGCAGCCAUGCCGCGUGUAUGAAGAAGGCCUUCGGGUUGUAAAGGACUUUCAGCAGGGAGGCGGUACCCGAAGAAGAAGCACCGGCUAACUACGUGCCAGCAGCCGCGGUAAUUC
rnacentral:rRNA from 1 species